rnacentral:piRNA from 1 species
UUGUACCUUGGAUGUCACUUCAGAUGCUUC